AUUGAACGCUGGCGGAAUGCCUUACACAUGCAAGUCGAACGGCAGCACGGGAGCAAUCCUGGUGGCGAGUGGCGAACGGGUGAGUAAUACAUCGGAACGUGCCCAAUCGUGGGGGAUAACGUAGCGAAAGCUACGCUAAUACCGCAUACGAUCUACGGAUGAAAGCAGGGGAUCGCAAAGACCUUGCGCGAAUGGAGCGGCCGAUGGCAGAUUAGGAGUUGGUGGGGUAAAGGCCUACCAAGCCGUCGAUCUGUAGCUGGUCUGGAGAGGACGACCAGCCACACUGGGACUGAGACACGGCCCAGACUCCACGGGAGCAGCAGUGGGAAUAUUGGACAAU
rnacentral:rRNA from 1 species